rnacentral:rRNA from 1 species
AUUGAACGCUGGCGGCAGGCCUAACACAUGCAAGUCGAACGAGUGGCGGACGGGUGAGUAAUGUCUGGGAAACUGCCUGAUGGAGGGGGAUAACUACUGGAAACGGUAGCUAAUACCGCAUACCAUCAGAUGUGCCCAGAUGGGAUUAGCGUGUUGGUGGGGUAACGGAUCACCAAUGCGACGAUCCCUAGCGGGUCUGAGAGGAUGACCAGCCACACUGGAACUGAGACACGGUCCAGAUGCCUACGGGAGGCAGCAGUGGGGAAUAUUGCAAAAUGUGCGCAGGCCGGAUGCAGCCAUGCCGCGUGUAUGAAGAAGGCCUUCGGGUUGUAAAGUACUUUCAGCGGGGAGGCGUUACCCGCAGAAUAAGCACCGGCUAACUCCGUGCCAGCCGCCGCGGUAAUAC